rnacentral:lncRNA from 1 species
AAAUUUAAGAAGCACUGAACAUUCUGGGAUUCAGCAUCAAGUCAUAUAGCCUGGCCAGUUCUAACCCCUUGUCCCUUGUCUCCAGAGCUGAUACCUUGUGUCUGCUUUAUUCUAUGGUACAUGAAUCCUUGACUCAUGCCCUAGUCCCUGUUAGACAAGUACCUGUUCUCAUGCUAGGGUUUGGCAUCCUAGUCUGGAUAGUGCAAUGACCAUGUUACCUCUUGGAAUUCCCACCUUCCUGCAUUUAAUGAGCAUUGCCUGCUAUUGGUCUUCUUUUUGACAUGUUUCUGUCUUCUUUGGGGCCACAUCCUCUUCAGAACACCUUCAUAACCAGCUGUAUCUGCUGCCAUGUUCUUCAGAUACAGAUCCUGGGCCUCUCCUGGGCUCAGCACCUGAGACAAUCCCUCAUUUUGGAAUAAGCUUCUGGGCCCAGGUUCUGCCUGCUUCAGUUAAUCCAUCCUUCUAGAGUCCACUUUGACACAUCCUGUCAUGCCCCAGAUAACACAUUUGUCAUGCUUUGUGAUUUGGAGCCAGAUCUAGCCCCAAAGAUAAAUAUAACAUCUUUGGAAGUGCUUAUACUCAUAGAAUAUUUAGCUCAAUUAAUCAUUUAUUGAGCAUCUAUUGAGUACUAGGUAUCAUGCCAAGCCUUAGGGAUAGAAAAGACAAAAUCUAAGAUACAGACCUUGUUUUAAGAAAUGCACAGAUUAAUAUGAGAUGUAAACAUAUAAAUAAAUAAUUAUGGUCUCUUUUCAUCUCCUUUGCAUAUUCAUUUGCAUAGUUCUGCUCUAGUUAAUAGUUCAUCUCUAAUUCUUCUUUAAGUGGAGGUUUAUUUAAUUUUUUUUUUAAUCCUGAAGAUGACCACCUGUGAAUUCUCCUUUGGAAAGCUUUUAGUCCUUUGCCCCCUUUUCAUAGCCUGUAGCCCCAUUCACUGCCCCAGUGACUCCAGUGAUCAUUGGUGUUGAGUUAGGAGUGAUAAAGUGACAUACCUCUCCUUUGCUCCAUGAAACCAAAGUCAUGGGCUUAGACAAAGACCCAGCUUUCCCAGGUGGAAAACGAUCAGGCUGUGAUCAAAAGUGCUCAAAUAACUUCACUUUCCUGCUAAGUCUACCUGAUAUUCCCACCUCCAAUACUCUCAUCUCCUUUGAAGAUACACCAUAAUUAUGGGGCUCCACUGGGUCUGAACAAUUUGAUGUUUUCCCCAUAGAUCAUCAUUACUAAGUGAGAGGUGGAAAGCAUGAGUAAAUUAUGAGGAAAAGAAAGUUAGAUGUCAUUUUUUACCAUGUUUUGCUUUUUCAACCAACCCAGUGUAAUUUAUGAAGUAUGACCAUGAAGGCUCCCUGGAUUCUGACCAAUAUUAUCUGGCCUAAACCAAUCCUACAGCUCCAACACAAUCAGUCAUGCUGAGGGAACUGCUUGACAUACCCUGAACUAGUGCUGCUGUGCUCCAGUACUGCUGUGAUUAAUUAGAUGUUUAGGAGAGCUAGUGAGUCACCAGUGUUUGGGUAUCAGUUUGAGGGACUAGGGAUUGACCCCAGCAUUCUGCUGAAUAUAACAGUGUGAUGAAACACAACUUAUGUAAUAGGAAGUAGCACCUGGUAGAGCAUGGUGACAGAUUAGCAAGGAGUAAAUAACAAGAACUUCUCAAUUGCCUGAAAAGCAGCCUGCAAACCUAAGAGACUGCAAAAAGUUUAAUCAUUUACUUAAGCAUGUAUUAAUAGCACCUGCUUUGUCCAGAGAACUGUCCUGGGAUUACUUAAAACUAUGAGCCCUGCUGCUGUGAAGUCAAGUCUAAGUAGAGCAGGCAGAAUGUCAAAAUCUGUUGGCGUGUCUAUGUGUGCAUGUAUAUGUUCAUAACUAGUAUGGAAGAGUCCAACAGAAACAAAAAUAACAAUCCAAAAAAAUAUAUUGAGCAGAGAAGACCAAAAUAACUACAACCAUACUUUGUAGAUUAAAUGUGGACUGAGGUCCAGGAAUGAGCACAGGAAAACAUGCAGCAUGUGAGGAGGGGGUCAGACACAUAAGCUGUGAGUGUUGGGUCUGGCCCUGUCUAUGGCCCUGAUUCUGUCUCAGUAAAAUGACUAUUAUAUCAGUAAGUGAUCAAGAAAUUCAGUGAAAUAACUUUCAAUACCUAGUGCAGUGGCUGCUACAUAGGAUGCGUUAAGUGGUUCCCCAUCUCCUGAAUCAUCUACCAUGAACCACAUUGUACAAAUUAGGAAACAGCCCCAAAGAGGUCAAGUGAGCUGCCCAAGUCACAAGGCUGUUAACUACAGAGAGAGGACCUCCAACCUUGAAUCUGGUGCUCUGAACACUGUACCAGGUUGCCUUCCGUUCCACAUUUUCGCGGAUUAACCACCUCAAUCAAGUAGAGUCCUUUCUUCAGCUGAUGUCACAGUUCAUAAACAACACAGCCCUAAGCAGACGCAACAGCCUUGCCUCGGAAUCCAAGCUGAGACUUGGAAAAAACGGUCCCCCUUACUAUAUAACCUGAAUCCUAUUCCCUUUACUGCAGAUUCAGCCAGGGCCACACACAGCUAUCUGGGGUUCAGCAGUAUCCUCCCACACAGCUCUCCCACCUCAUGCUCAGCUGCUGUUCCACACACAGCAGAGAGCUGAUAGGAAGCAUCUAUUCAAGUUCCCCCACAUGCUACUCUGUUAUUUUAGUCUCUUUUGGGCCACGAUCCCAAACUGGCAAUCCUUAGAAAUCCAAUUUUUGUUUACUUUUUGAUGACUCUAGAGUUCAGAAAGUUAGAGUAUUGCUUUUUAAUUAAUUCUACUUUCCAGAAGCUCAAGUUGCCUAGUCCUGCUAGUGGUGGUUCCCUCUAACUCUCCUAGAAAAUAGAUAUGGUCCUGUUAGUUGGCAUUGGUUGUAGUCAUUAUUAUUCACUGAAGACUCUACUUUAGACAAACUUGCAUUUUUGAAAUUGCUGUCAUUUAAUCCCAUAGGCAGUUGAUUUAAGCUUCAUUUUUCCCAUUAAAUGAAAAUUAAAUUAAGCUCAUUAUUGUAUUAGACAGGCAUUGAUUAUACUCACUUUGGUUUUAAUUAAAUGCUACUAUUCAUUAUUUCCUCCUGUGUAGUGCUUUUAAUUUUCUUUGGUAUAUAAUUUGGGGUAACAACAAUAUCAGUAAAUUAUCCCUCAUAAAUAAUACUCAAAGAGAAAGACAUACAAAACACACUGUGAAAGCAAUUUGAAGGUGUUUGCUUAUUGUUUUUAAUUUACUGGUAGGAUAUUUAUCGGGGGAUAUUUUUCCAUGUUGCUCCUUUGUGAUAAAACAGGGCAUGCUCAUAUCUCUCUUAAGCAGCUCUGACUUUUGCAGUUAAUGGCUGACUUCAAGAUGUCAUUGAUCUUAAAAAUGUGCUGACUUUAUGUGCAACACUGAAGUUAUGGUCCAGGGGGUAGAUGUUUGAAUUUAAGUCUAAGAACAUUAUCAGAAAGGUUUAGAAAAAUGUCCAGAGAAGCUUAUUUAGUUUUUUCUACAACAUUUGUGAAGCACUCAUUUCAUGCUAAACAGUCUCCUUAGCCUUGGAAAUGCCUGGAAUGAUAGAGGACCACGGACCUUGUCCUUCUGGUACUUGUAUUCUAAAGGGUAGAAAAUUGCAUAGUAUAUACUGACUCCAACUCUUUGAGAAAACAGGAUUCCUAUUAACUAGCUGAUAGUGCCUGGUCCAUUCUCUGCAAGUCUUGACUUUGAGCAAGAUCGUGUAUUUUGCAGUCCUCUCCUCUUAAAUAUAUCAGAAUGAUAGCUACAGAAUGAAAUUUCUGAGCUCAAAAUACAGACAGCAUCUCUCAAGUCCAGAACAGAAGUGGAAAAUAAUGAGUAAAUCAAGUAGAGCCCUUGAGGGCUCUGGUUAGAGAAGCUGUCCAUUCAGCUAGGAAUUUAUUCCCUUACUAGAUAAUAGUACCCACCAAAUGAGAGCUCAGGGGUCAGUGCUUGCAGCACGGUUGACAGUGGGUAAGGAGUCUAAAAAGUACUUCUGAGGCUAGUCUUUUUACAGCAAGCCGCAGUCCUGUGGACAUCUUAUGACCUGGAAAUGAACCACAUUGCCAGUGAUUAGAUUUGGUUCUGAUCUUGAAGAAGUUGAGAAAGCAAGGAGAAUACAAGCAACUAGAUAGGAAGGGCUGAGCAUGCUGGGAAGAGGAAGAUGAGUAAACAGACAAGUAACUCAAAAUGAUCCUAGUCUUCAAGUACAAAAUCCUAACAUGUAAAAACACGCUGAGAAGAAAUCCUAAAAUCAAUGAUCAGAAUAUGAAUGCUCUUCAUCUUGAAAGAAAUUUAUGUACCAGUCUGAGUUGACUUCUUUCAUGACGUCAUGAAGGAAACUUCUGUUUCAAAAGUUAGGAAACAAAGCAAAAGUAGGUUGACAUGAAAUGAGAACAGGGAAAUAUGAAAAAGAACCAGUUAUAAAUGUUGGAAAUAAAAAGAUAAUUAAAAAUGAAAUAAAAACAUCGUUGGAACUAGAGGUCCUCAUACUAAGUGAAGUAAGUCAGAAAGAGAAAGAAAAAUACCAUAUGAUAUCACUUAUAUCUGGAAUCUAAUAUAUGGCACAAAUAAAACUUUCCACAAAAAGGAAACUCAUGGACCUAGAGAACAGACUUGUAGUUGCCAAGGAGAAGAGGGAGGGAGUGGAAUGGGAUGGGAGUCUGGGGUUAAUAGAUGGAAACUACUGCAUUUGGAGUGGAUAAGCAAUGAGAUCCUGCUGUAUAGCACAGGGAACUUUAUCUAGUCACUUGUUAUGGAAUAUGAUGGAGGAUAAUGUGAGAAAAAGAACGUAUAUAUUUGUAUGACUGAGUCACUUUGCUGUACAGAAGAAAUUGACAGAACACUGUAAACCAGCUAUACUGGAAAAAAUAAAAGUCAUUUAAAAAUAAAUAAAUAAAAAUAAAUUUUAAAUAAAAUUUAACAGCUCAGUAGAUGAGAUGAACUCUGGAAUAGUCUUAUUCAAAUGGAAAAUUACUAGAGUUUAUGAUUAUACUCAAGGAUUCGCCCCGAGUGCAGCAAGAGAGACAUGGAAAUUUUCUCAGUUUUUGAAAAAAGCUGUUAAAGAUGUGGAAGACACAGAAGGUCUUACAUAGUUUACCAGGGUAUAUGAGAGAGUAGAAGAGAUAGAGGAGAAUGGAAACUUGGGAAAAUAAUGUGAGGUAUUUCAAGACAUGAAAAAAGGCAAAAUUAUUUAGAUAAAAAUUUCAGUCUGAGUAUGCAGCAGAAUUAAGAUAUAUAUGUGUAUAUAUUCAUACAUAUUCUGAUUAUCAGGAUGAUAUAAAGAGAAAAAAUCUUAAUGGAGUUCCUGUCGUGGCUCAGUGGUUAACGAAUCCGACUAGGAACCAUGAGGUUGCGGGUUCGAUCCCUGCCCUUGUUCAGUGGGUUAACGAUCAGGCGUUGCCAUGAGCUGUGGUGUAGGUUGUAGAUGCGGCUCGGAUCCCGUAUUGCUGUGGCUCUGGCGUAGGCCAGUGGUUACGGCUCUGAUUCGACCCCUAGCCUGGGAACCUCCAUAUGCCGCGGGAGAGGCCCAAGAAAUGACAAAAAG